AUUGAACGCUGGCGGCAGGCCUAACACAUGCAAGUCGAACGAGUGGCGGACGGGUGAGUAAUGUCUGGGAACCUGCCCGAUGGAGGGGGAUAACUACUGGAAACGGUAGCUAAUACCGCAUACCAUCGGAUGUGCCCAGCUGGGAUUAGCUAGUGGGUGGGGUAUCGGCUCUCCUAGGCGACGAUCCCUAGCUGGUCUGAGAGGAUGACCAUCCACACUGGAACUGAGACACGGUCCAGACUCCUACGGGAGGCAGCAGUGGGGAAUAGUGGACAAUGGGCGCAAGCCUGAGGGAGCCAUGCCGCGUGGAUGAAGAAGGCCUUCGGGUUGUAAAGUACUUUCAGCGAGGAGGCGUUACUCGCAGAAGAAGCACCGGCUAACUCCGUGCCAGCAGCCGCGGUAAUUC
rnacentral:rRNA from 1 species